rnacentral:lncRNA from 1 species
UUUGUUAAAAUAAGUUGGUCAUUAUGCAGUCCUAUUUUCUAGGAUAUGCAGAUCAAAUCUAGGCUAGUUAACUGCUCACGUAUCUUUAGNAUGUAAAAUUGUGGGUGGAUAUAGUUCAAUUAUUUUUCUGUCAGUCAUCUCUGUAUUUUGGCUAUAUAAGCCAACUUAUGUUUUGUUAAUAAAGAUGAAGAAAUUCUUCAGCACAAACCUUCAGAGUAUAUUAUUCUGUGAUUAACAUUCUCACACAUAAGCAUAUGACCAUCUUUAAUAACUAAUAUUAGAAGUUGCAUUUAGACAAAAUGGAGGAAGCAAGUGCUUGUUAUCAGGAAAUCUUUCACUAAGACAUGAAGCACAAACUGAUAUGAGAAGGAGUAUAAAGUGUAGAUAGCUCAGUAAGAUGUAUGGAGAACUUAGAUAACUCGGUAAAAAGUUCCAAUAGCCUAAGAAGGUGCAUGAAGAACUCAAAUAACUCGGUGGGAAGUUCAGAUAGCCCGAUAAGUGUUAGAAUCACUGCAACGAAAUUAUUAGCGUGGAACAAACCAAAAGGGGGGGGGGUGAAUUGGUUAUAUACUUUUAUCGUGCCUUUUAUUAUUUUUCUCUUAAUUUUUCUUACUUAAGCAAAUAAUUAAAUAUAAAUAAGAGAGUAAGGGAAAGAGAAAAAUUGCACAGGUGAUUUUAUCCUGGUUCAGAUCACACGGAUCCUACGUCUAGUCGCUUAUCUCAAACAAGAUAAACCUUUUUCACUAUCACAAAACAAUUACAAAUAUUAGUCACAGAGAAAAAUAAUUUGUAAGAGUUUAGAAAUACCACCUCUCUU